UACGGAGGGGGCUAGCGUUGUUCGGAAUCAUUGGGCUUAAAGGGCGUGUAGGCGGCAACGCAAGUGUCGAGUGAAAUCCCAUCGCUCAACGAUGGAACGGCUCGGCAAACUGCGUGGCUUGAGGUCGGUAGAGGUGCUCGGAACUCUAGGUGGAGCGGUGAAAUGCGUAGAUAUCUAGAGGAACGCCUGAGGCGAAAGCGGGGCACUGGGCCGAUUCUGACGCUGAGACGCGAAAGCGUGGGGAGCAAACGGG
rnacentral:rRNA from 1 species